AUGGGACCCCUUGAGGCCAAACCCAGAGGGGUUGGACGAGCAGGCGGGGCUCCUUGCGUCUCUGCAGUCCCCGUCGGGCGUGCCCUGCGUGGCGCACCAACCCAAGCCACAUUCAAGGUGAAUCAUCCCUGGCCCGCCUCCUGUCCCUCCCCCGCCUCUCGGCACCUGAGCCAAUGGCACGGCGCGGGGGGCGGGCGGGGCACAGGGGGCGGUAAAACCCUCUUGGAGUCAUUAUCUCUGCACUCGGUCGAGUCCCAGCGCCUCCGCGCCGAAAGACCGCCGGCCUCCCUCCGUCUGCGCGGUCGGAGGCAGGCCGGUGCACCCUGUUCUACGGCCUCUAGGGCCCUAGUACCAGGGUGCAUUCUGCCUGCCGCGCGAAGGCGUCUGCUCCUCAGGUGGCCCGGCCGGGGCCUUUCCCUGCAGACCUGUCACCCGACACCCAGGAAGCGCGCGGCCCCAUCCCGGCUCCUCUUUGUUCCCCUUCUGGGCUCCGCGCUGGGGCGCCGCCUCCUCCUGCCCGGGCAGUGGAGAUUAGGGGCGCCGCCCUGGCCCAACCUGGCGCGCCUCAAGUUCCAUCCAUCCGGCCCGCUCCAAACGUGGGCCCUUUUUUUUCUUGUUCUUCCCGUGUGGACCCCGCGCGGAGCUGGGAGGCGGCAGUGCGCCCAGCCCCGAGCCGGCGCAGGUGCUGCUGAGCUGGUCCUGCAGUGGGAGGUAGGCACUACUGGAUACAGGUUCUCAAGGCUCUUCUCCAGGUGUCGGCCCAGGCAUGAGCUGAAACUUCAAGGGAUGGAAGCCUCCCCCUGCACUGGCCCUGCUGGGGUUUCCUAGUCACCACUUUACCAUCUUCUGUUGACUCCUUGCUGGACCCUUAAGGACGUUUUGGGUGAAUUCCAUAAUUCUGUGAACAUAUCCCACCAUUAAGUCAUCUACAUGGAAGCUUCAGUCUCUGAGGAAGGCAAGUCCCAGGGAAUUGGGUGUUAGGAUUGUCUGCCUCCUGAACCUUUUCUUUCUUUCCUUGUGGUCCAGAUCCUCCGGGAUUGGGGAUCUGGGAGGGUGGUGGACACAUCUUGGAGGACAGGAAGGGAAGGCAGAAAUUCUCAAGAGCUUCCCCAAGAUGAAGUACCCUAACAGCCUCUCCCAUUCCUUGCAGUCUCAAAUGGACCUGGGAGCUCUCCAGAAGCAGGCCCAUUUUGCAGCUUCAUGCUCCUAUGGUUGGCAGUUUUCUAAAGCAUGUUCCAAUGUCAGUUGUGGCUCUGGUCACCAAUCCCAGGGAAGGGAAAAGUCCAGGCAAUUUCUUGCUACACCAAUUGACUUGCUUACCACCCAUCCCACAGAUAAUGAUCUGCACAUAAACAUUUAGAUGCCUUAUUAUUCUAACUCUCAGAAUAUCUUUGCAAUUGAGAUGUUUUAAAGUAAUAUAUAUAAAGUAAUACUUACGGCUUUCAAAGCCUAAGGAAAUAAUCAAAGUUAUUUUUCAAGCUGGGCACAGUGGCGCAUGCCUGUAAUCCCAGUGGCUCAGGAGGCUGAGGCAGGAGGAUAGCAGAUUCAAAGCCAGUCUCAGUAAAAGCAAGGCACUAAGCAAUUCAGUGAGAUCCUGUCUCUAAAAUACAAAAUAGGGUUGGUGAUGUGGCUCAGUGGUCAAGCCAGAGUUCAAUCUCCAGUACCAAAAAAAAAAAAAAAAAAAGUUACUUGAAUAUAAAAUAACUUAGAAUUAUCUUAAGCUUUUAAAGGAGUACUUGGUGCUUUGUUCUUUAUUCCCUUUCUAGGAACCCAGACACUUUGCUAGGCCAGAGCUAAGUGGAAACCUUCAUCAUUUCACCGAUGUUGACUUCGAGUUGGCAAUGUGGGACUUCCUUUGGUCUGACUUCUUCUCAUUCUUGUUUUUUUUUUUUUUUUUUUUAAACUUCAUUGUAUAAAAUCUUUUAUGUAACCUGCUUCAUUUUUUUUAAAGUUUAAAAUGCCUGAUUUUUUUUUGGAGAUAAUAAAAAAUGUUCUAAAAUUAGUAUGGUGAUUGUUGUACAAUUUUGUAAAUACAGUAAAAA
ensembl:lincRNA